rnacentral:rRNA from 1 species
GUGCCAGCAGCCGCGGUAAUACGGAGGGUGCAAGCAUUAAUCGGAUUUAUUGGGCGUAAAGGGGGCGCAGGCGGGAGCAUAAGUCAGACGUGAAAUCCCGGGGCUCAACCCCGGAACUGCGUUUGAAACUAUGUUUCUUGAGGCAGGGCGGAGAAAACGGAAUUCCACAUGUAGCGGUGAAAUGCGUAGAUAUGUGGAGGAACACCGGUGGCGAAGGCGGUUUUCUAGCUCUGACCUGACGCUGAGGCCUGAAAGCUAGGGGAGCGAACAGGAUUAGAUACCCUGGUAGUCCUAGCCGUAAACGAUGCAUACUUGGUGUAGCUGGACUCAACCCUAGCUGUGCCGUAGCUAACGUGUUAAGUAUGCCGCCUGGGGAGUACGCUCGCAAGGGUAAAACUCAAAAGAAUUGACGGGGACCCGCACAAGCAGUGGAGCAUGUGGUUUAAUUCGAUGCAACGCGAAGAACCUUACCCAGACUUGACAUGUAUUUGACCGCACUAGAAAUAGUGUUUUCCUUCGGGACUUUUACACAGGUGCUGCAUGGCUGUCGUCAGCUCGUGCCGUGAGGUGUUGGGUUAAGUCCCGCAACGAGCGCAACCCUUAUCGUUAGUUGCCAGCAUUUAGGAUGGGAACUCUAACGAGACUGCCUGGGUUAACCAGGAGGAAGGUGAGGAUGACGUCAAGUCCGCAUGGCCCUUAUGUCUGGGGCUACACACGUGCUACAAUGGCCGGUACAGAGGGCAGCCAAACCGUGAGGUGGAGCAAAUCCCAGAAAGCCGGUCCCAGUUCGGAUUGGAGUCUGCAACUCGGCUCCAUGAAGUUGGAAUUGCUAGUAAUGGCGUGUCAGCAAUAACGCCGUGAAUACGUUCCCGGGUCUUGCACACACCGCCCGUC